UUUUAAUUUUUCUUAAUUAAAAAGUGGUGUACAGGUGAGUAUAAGGAUAUUCUUCGCCGGCCUUAAAGUGGAGGUAAAUCCUUCAUAAUCAAUAAAGGGAAACUAAAAAUUCCUGCUUUAAGAGGAUAAUAAAUAUCUUCGGGAUAGGUAGUAGUUAAGGUGAUGGCUUAACUAGCCUAAAACUCUCGUAGUCGAAGCUGAAAGGUUGAUCGACCACAUUGGGUCUGAAAAAACCCCAAUGCAAGUUAGUACAGCAGUGAGGAAUUUUGGUCAAUGGCCUAACGGCUGAACUGGCAACUUGGAGAAGUGGCAAGUCCUAUUUUGAUCAUAUCUUUGAAUAUGAUCUAUAGGAUUGUAUUAAAAUUGAAUAAAGCUUUGUUUAUAUAUUGAUAAUGACAGUAUAUAUAUCGUGUCUUGACUAAUUGCGUGCCAGCAGUCGCGGUAAUACGUAAGAGACUAGUGUUAUUCAUCUUAAUUAGGUUUAAAGGGUACCUAGACGGUCAAUAUAGCUUCUAGAAUGUUAGUACUUGACUAGAGUUUUAUGUAAGAGGGCAGUACUUGAGGAGGAGAGAUGAAAUUCUAUGAUACCAAAGGGACUCGGUAAAGGCGAAGGCAGCCCUCUAUGUAAAAACUGACGUUGAAGGACGAAGGCACAGAGAACAAACAGGAUUAGAUACCCAAGUAGUCUUUGCAGUAAAUGAUGAAUGCCAUAGGUUAGAUUAAGAUUUAAUAAUUUAGUUAAUUUGAACUAAACCAUUAAACAUUAUUUGGUCUAUAAAUGAAAGUGUAAGCAUUUCACCUCAAGAGUAAUGUGGCAACGCAGGAACUGAAAUCACUAGACCGUUUCUGACACCAGUAGUGAAGUAUGUUGUUUAAUUCGAUGAUCCACGAAAAACCUUACCACAAUUUGUAUAAUUAUAUUACAGGAGUUGCACGGCUGUUUUCAGUUAAUGUUGUGAAACUGUGGUUUCCAUGAAAUUAACGCAAUCCCUGGCUUUAUUUUUUUGAAUUUUACGAUAAAGCAUUUGAUCCUGGAAUUUGGAAAGAAAAAGGGGACAAAGACAAGUCAUCAUGGCCUUUAUAUUGUGGGCUAUAGACGUGCCACAUAUGCCUAGACAAAGAGAUGCGAAAAUGUGAAUUUAAGCUAAUCUCAAAAAAUAGGAUAUAAAUUUUAAGGAUUGUAGUCUGAAAUUCGACUAUAUGAAUAAGUAAUUACUAGUAAUCGUGAAUCACCAUGUCACGGUGAAUUAACCUUGGAUUGGUACUAACCACUCGUCACAUGCUGAAAAGAGCAUGCGCAAUAAGUUUGCUUUCUUAGUAAUUAGUAAAAAAAACAAGUAGGUUUUGUGCAUUCUAUUAUUGGGAAUCUUCGUAUGCGUGGCUCUAAUUAGUGUU
rnacentral:rRNA from 1 species